rnacentral:rRNA from 1 species
CACGUAGGGUGCGAGCGUUGUCCGGAUUUAAGUUGGGCGUAAAGGGCCCGUAGGCGGUUUGGUAAGUCGGGAUGUCAAAACUCCAGGCUCAACCUGGAGCGGCCAUCCGAUACUGCCAUGACUUGAGUCUGGUAGGGGAGUGCGGAAUUCCUGGUGUAGCGGUGAAAUGCGCAGAUAUCAGGAGGAACACCGGUGGCGAAGGCGGCACUCUGGGCCAGCUACUGACGCUGAUGGGCGAAAGCGUGGGGAGCAAACAGG